GGGGCUUCAGGACUACAGUAAGACAAUGAGUAUGCAAGAAGAAAAGAUCAUGAGAGCAAGAAAAAGGUGAUUGGAGACCCAUGAAGACACAGAGGGAAAACAAGAGGGGCUAAUUGACCUAGAAAUACAGGUAGAGUCUGAAACAAAGAGCUUACCAAGAAUCCAAAGAAGGACCUUAACUCCAGAAGGAUGACCCUGAGGCUAUCUCUGCCACACAGAGAAGCUGAGGUCGAAACUUAGAACACAGACUCCAGAACUCUAGAAAGCCAUCCUUGGUAGUCUCGCAUGAAACCUCCACCUCUAUAUGAGGACUUCUUGCGUUUCACUCUUCCUUGAAGCACUACCUUAGAGAGUAACUUCUCUCCCUCCCACUGAGAGGAAAAGCACUCCACAACUCAGUCCUUGGUUCAUGAAUCCUGGCUUGCAGUGGGUAUGUGUACUAUCUUUCUUAUUAGCUGUUGUACUGAUUAGUUUUAUGUUAACUGACUCAAGCUAAAGUCAUCCGAGAGGAGGGAAUUUCAAUUGAGAAUGUUUCGGUAAGAUCAGGCUGUAGGCAUGCCUAUAGGGCAUUGUUGACGGGAAAGUGCCCAGAACACUGUGAGUGGUGCCAUUCCUGGGCUAUUGGUCCAUGGUGCUAUAAGAAAGCAGGCUGAGCAAGCCAUGAACAGCAAAUCAGUAAGCAGGACUCCUCCAUUGCCUCUGUAACAGUUCCUGUCUCGAGGUUCUUGCUCUAUUUGAUUUCCUACUCCGACUGCCUUUGAUGAUGGACUGUUCCCUAGAAGUGAAAUAAACCCUUUCUUCCCAAGUUGCUUUGGUUCAUGGUAUUUCAUCACAGCAAUAGAAACCUUAACUAAUACAGCAGUGGUCACAUGCACAUGGUGUGACAUAGGUAAAGCACAGUAGGUGGUCUUGUUCUUUCCCAAUCAGGCGAAGAGCAGAAACCAUUCAUCUAUUGUUGGUUACUGAGCCAAUAUUUAUUAAGUUUUUGACACCACAAUAAGUUUAUACUAGCAACCUGAACUUUGAACUGUAGACUAGGUACCCAUAACCCUGUAUGGCAAAUAGAACACAGAGGAUGAACCCCGUUGUACAAGCAAAGAGCUGAAACAGAGAAUGGCCCUGGAUCACACUGGGAUUCAGACCUUUCUUGAGCCAGCCUUUUAGUUCUCUCUCACACCUACCUCCUGCACUGAGACUAGAAUUCUUGCAGAACAACAAUGUCACUGAAGUCACCUUUGAAUCUUUAGGGUCUCCAUAAUCCAUGGCAGACAUUAGGUUCAUGGAGAAGAGAUUUGAAUAAACCAAUAAGGUUUGGGGUCAGAGCUCUUGAGUUCUAGAAUCAUUACUAUCUCAUUGGAAUCUUAAAAGAGGGGAAUACCCUCUUUGCCACCCUAUUUCUGAAUAAAACAUGCCAGCAGAUAAAGAUGGGAUUAUCUCCAAGGCAUACUGAAACUUCCCCAGAUGCCACAGAAUCCAUGUGACUGAAAUACCAAAGGUGGAGCAGGCGCACCCUAAAAUGAGCCUCCAUUCAAUUCUGAAUAGUAUAAGAAGCACAUCAAAUUCAGACAUUGGACCAGGUAGGUCCCAUAUGGCAGAGGCGCAUGACAGCAGGGGUUCCAUGUAAAGCAAGGCACCUGAAAUAGGAAAUACUCAAGAUUCUCUUGUUCUGAAAGGGAGACUCCAAAUUGACCACAUUUGAAGCUCCUGCCCCAUUCAGUUCAGUCUCUGUCACUCCUACACUUGUAUCAAUCUCUGUGCAUGGUCUUCCAAGCAAUGCAGGAGGCCAUUUUUACCCUCACCAACACUGGUUGUUCCCAGAAUGGGUUUCCCUUAAAAUCACUUCAAUAUUGUCCUAUAUCCAACAGCUUUUCCCACAGGCCAGAUGCUGCUUAGUAGAAGGGAGCAACUUCAGACCUGACUUUUAAAGAUCAUAGAGGAUAGGUGUGAUGUUUGAGGCUAGAGUGUAUGUCAGAAGGAAUACUGGAAAGAUGUAAGGAGGCUCCUUCCAGAACUCAGACAGGGAGUAUGACACGAAGUUACUGGAGUUUGGGAAGGCCUCAGAAAGAUGCUUGUGUGUGAACUGGGUCUUGGAGGUUAAGGAGAUGUUUGCCAGCUGGAGAAGGCAUAGAGCAGCUAGAGUCAAGGUGGGGAUGCCCAGAGUGUGGAAGGGCAUAGUGUAUGUUUGGGAGAGGAACCAGCCACUGAGUGAGAGAACACGGUGGGAACAGCCUCCCAGAAGACACAAAUGAAUUUCAGGAUUUUCAGAUUUUCUUCUGCACAUUGCCCUAUAAGCAAAGACAACAGGGCCCCCUAAGUCACCCAGGCUCCCAGCGAGUGCCAUGGAAAAUGUUUAAGGUAUCAUUUAACCCAAAGCAAAUGUACUAUCAGCAUUUUUUAAAAUCUCCGAGAAAGAAGAAGAAACAAAAGCUGUUGAAAUGUGAAAAUAAUUAGAGAAGCGACUUUCCCAGGGAACAAACAUGGCCCACGCUGCGCAGAGGGAAGAACAAACAAACUUAGGGGCGGUUAUAAAGCUGUAAAAAUCUUGUUUAUUUCUGAAGAAAGAAAUAACGUUGGAGCAAAGCCACCGAGCCUGCACAACCAUAAAUCAAGGCUUAGGCGGUAGGGAAGGAGGAGUCAGCCAAUAAAUUCAGAGGAAACAAAGCUGCAUUCUAGCUGUCCCAGGAGGCCUGAGAACCUGCUCUGCUCGGGUUCUGCAGCCCUGGAUCACAACAUCCAAAAGUCAGAAUGCCCUGAGUGUUCCUUGUGUGCUCGCCCAGUUAGAAAGCAUUUGGCUCGGGUUACAAUUUAGAAAAGCUAGUCUGAGAGUUGUUCGAUUUUCAGAAAGAAGUGGGGAAAAGUUCUUUCAGAACGCCCCAGAGUUCCCCCUUCUCCAGCUGCCUCUUCGGGUAGUUUCGGCUCAACAGAAACCCCAGGAGGCAGCGGGGCAAGGUCAGGACUGUGGAGGGAAUUCCCACCCGGUGCGCUCAGAAGCAUCCCAGGUUGCUGGCUUCGGUAAACAGCCUCACUAGAAAGGUCACCCCUGAGCUGAGGGAUUUUUCUUGUCUCUCACCGCAGGUUUCUGGACAGAGGGGUCUGGUUUACCGAGAACUUGCUCCACUAACAAUGCGGAGCCCUGAGCUGCGGGUGUCAUAGAGCAAGCAUGGAGAGAGGCAAGGCUUCAUCAGCUUCACGCUUGCCAAAGCUCCUGUCUACGGAACUUAAAGGGUUCGAAAACAUGGGAGGUGAAAUGUCACUCAAGUGAAUUAAGAGAGUUCAACUAUCCCAGACCAGCGUGAGUGACUGAACUGGAGGCCAUGGCAGCUGCAGAGAUCACAGGAAACCCGAUUCCCAGCUCCUUCCGAUGAUGUUUUUUUCCUUCAUCUUUACUGUUGUACCAUUGUCUUCCCUCUGGAUGUGCUUCCCGCUUCCUCUAACACAGGCUGCCAGCCACAUGUUGGUUUCUCUUCUGUCUGAUGAGAACAAUGGGAUUGUGUUUGAGCACAUCCGGGUAAUCUAAGAUAAUGUUCGUAACUUUGGAGCCAACAAUGUAUCACACCUGCCUCCCUGUUAUUUAUGUCCAUAGCUAUAGGUUUCAGAGUUCAGGGUCCAAUAAAUUUAGGAGACACUUUUUA
rnacentral:sRNA from 1 species